GACGAACGCUGGCGGCGUGCCUAAUACAUGCAAGUCGAGCGCAGGAAACUGACGGAACUCUUCGGAGGGAAGGCAGUGGAAUGAGCGGCGGACGGGUGAGUAACACGUAAGGAACCUGCCUCAAGGAUUGGGAUAACUCCGAGAAAUCGGAGCUAAUACCGGAUAGUUCAACGGACCGCAUGGUCCGUUGAUGAAAGGCGCUCCGGCGUCACCUUGAGAUGGCCUUGCGGUGCAUUAGCUAGUUGGUGGGGUAACGGCCCACCAAGGUGACGAUGCAUAGCCGACCUGAGAGGGUGAUCGGCCACACUGGGACUGAGACACGGCCCAGACUCCUACGGGAGGCAGCAGUAGGGAAUCUUCCACAAUGGACGAAAGUCUGAUGGAGCAACGCCGCGUGAGUGAUGAAGGUUUUCGGAUCGUAAAACUCUGUUGUAAGGGAAGAACACGUACGAGAGGGAAUGCUCGUACCUUGACGGUACCUUACGAGAAAGCCACGGCUAACUACGUGCCAGCAGCCGCAGUAACAC
rnacentral:rRNA from 1 species